CCUACGGGUGGCUGCAGUGAGGAAUAUUGGUCAAUGGGCGAGAGCCUGAACCAGCCAAGUCGCGUGAAGGAUGACGGCCCUACGGGUUGUAAACUUCUUUUGUCAGGGAGCAAUUGGGUCCACGCGUGGGCUUAGCGAGAGUACCUGAAGAAAAAGCAUCGGCUAACUCCGUGCCAGCAGCCGCGGUAAUACGGAGGAUGCGAGCGUUAUCCGGAUUUAUUGGGUUUAAAGGGUGCGUAGGCGGACUGGAAAGUCAGCGGUAAAAUCGAGAGGCUCAACCUCUUUCCGCCGUUGAAACUGUCGGUCUUGAGUGGGCGAGAAGUAUGCGGAAUGCGUGGUGUAGCGGUGAAAUGCAUAGAUAUCACGCAGAACUCCGAUUGCGAAGGCAGCAUACCGGCGCCCGACUGACGCUGAGGCACGAAAGCGUGGGUAUCGAACAGGAUUAGAUACCCUAGUAGUC
rnacentral:rRNA from 1 species